GGGCGGAUAGCUCAGCUGGUUAGAGCGCCUGCCUUACAAGCAGGAGGUCACAGGUUCAAUUCCUGUUUCGCCCA
rnacentral:tRNA from 1 species